rnacentral:rRNA from 1 species
UACGGAGGGUGCGAGCGUUGUCCGGAAUCACUGGGCGUAAAGGGCGCGUAGGCGGCGCGACAAGUCAGUGGUGAAAGCCCGAGGCUCAACUUCGGGUCGGCCACUGAUACUGUCGGGCUCGAGCACUGUAGAGGCAGGUGGAAUUCCGGGUGUAGCGGUGGAGUGCGUAGAGAUCCGGAAGAACACCGGUGGCGAAGGCGGCCUGCUGGGCAGUAGCUGACGCUGAGGCGCGACAGCGUGGGGAGCAAACAGG